rnacentral:rRNA from 1 species
UGAGGAAUAUUGCGCAAUGGGGGAAACCCUGACGCAGCAACGCCGCGUGAGUGAGGAAGGUUUUCGGACCGUAAAGCUCUGUCGAGCGGGAAGAAGUGUAUCAUGGCUAAUAUCCAUGAUAUUUGACGGUACCGCUAAAGGAAGCACCGGCUAACUCCGUGCCAGCAGCCGCGGUAAUACGGGGGGUGCUAGCGUUGUUCGGAAUCAUUGGGCGUAAAGAGCGUGUAGGCGGCUGGACAAGUCAGAUGUGAAAGCCCUGGGCUUAACCCAGGAAGUGCAUUUGAAACUGUUCAGCUUGAGUAAGGGAGAGGAAAGUGGAAUUCCUGGUGUAGAGGUGAAAUUCGUAGAUAUCAGGAGGAACACCGGUGGCGAAGGCGACUUUCUGGCCCUAUACUGACGCUGAGACGCGAGAGCGUGGGUAGCAAACA